AGCUUUGUGCAGUGGCAGUAUUGUAGCCAAUGAGGUUUAUCCGAGGCAUGAUUAUUGCUAAAUGAAACUAUUAUGAAUCAAACUUCUACAAAUAUUCUUUUUGUUGUUACAUAGCU
rnacentral:snRNA from 2 species